rnacentral:lncRNA from 1 species
GCCCAAACACCCUCAUAAAACUGAUAUGCCUUUUCUCCCCUGAAAUAGUAACAGGAAAUGAGCUUUACUGAAAUAGAUUUUCCGUCUUGAUUUAAACAGAAGCACCGAUUUAAAUUAACGGACCAAAAGAAAACCCUGCAUAUGGACGAAGCGUAGAGUUCCUAUAGAAUUGCAAAUUCAUACACAAGAUAAAAACCUGUUGCCUUUUACCCUUUCCUCCCUGGGGCAUGAAGACUUUCUCAACUUCUCUCUGAGCCCCAGGAGUGGCUGGGGCCUUUGUGCUGCAGGAAACUCCAAGAACUCUAAGAAACUGACACGUAAAUACUCUGGCUGA